rnacentral:rRNA from 1 species
UACGAAGGGGGCUAGCGUUGUUCGGAAUCACUGGGCGUAAAGCGCACGUAGGCGGCUUUGCAAGUUAGAGGUGAAAGCCCGGGGCUCAACCCCGGAAUUGCCUUUAAAACUGCAUCGCUAGAAUUGUGGGGAGGUAAGUGGAAUUCCGAGUGUAGAGGUGAAAUUCGUAGAUAUUCGGAAGAACACCAGUGGCGAAGGCGACUUACUGGACACAUAUUGACGCUGAGGUGCGAAAGCGUGGGGAGCAAACAGG